AUAACUUUAAGCAAUGGAUCUCUUGGCUCUCGCAUCGAUGAAGAGCGUAGCAAAUUGCUAUAAUUAGUGCGAUCUGCAUUCUGCGAAUCAUCGAGUUCUUGAACGCACCUUGCACCCUUUGGCUUGUCCUUGGGGUAUGCUUGUUUCAGUACAACUACAAACCCACAAAUGUCAUUCCUUGAAUGAAUUGACCAUUGUGAUUGGGAUGUUAAAGGUUGAACACCUGUUUGACCUUUCAUCCUGAAAAUGAAUCCAUCGGAUACAUUUCAACAUUGGUUUGUUUCCUUCGCAUGAAAUUUUCUUGAUUGAAAAACAUUGGGGAAUUUGCCAAUACCACAAACUUGUUGUCUGGAAUCAAGCAGGAUUACCCGCUGAACUUAAGCAUAUCAAUAAGCGAGGAAAAGAAAAUAACCAUGAUUGCCUUAGUAACGGCGAGUGAAGAGGCAAAAGCUCAAGUUUGGAAUCUCAAUGGUUUAACCACUGCGCAUUGUAAACUGAAAAAGGAUCAAUCAGGUACACCGGGUGAUAAGUUCCUUGGAAUAGGACAUCAUGGAGGGUGAGAAUCCCGUCUUUGACCCGAGUCUAGUAUCUUUUGUAUUGGCCUGUUCAAGAGUCAGGUUGUUGUCUGAAUGGCUUUAUACGGCUCGUCUUGAAACACGGACUAAGGAGUCCACCUAAUGUGCGAGUAUUUGGGAGGUAAACCCAUAUGCGCAAUGAAAGUAACUCUACCUAUGAGAGGGUCUCUCGGGGCCUUUGCAAUAGGCUCGGGCAGGGAUGUUCUGUACUGAACUGAACUGACUCAGACAAAGCACAUUUAAUGGGACCUGAAAGAUGGUGAACUAUGCUUGGAUAGGGUGAAGCCAAAGGAGACUUUGGUGGAGGCUCGUAGCGAUUCUGACGUGCAAAUCGAUCGUCGAAUCUGAGUAUAGGGGCGAAAGACCAAUCGAACCAUCUAAUAGCUGGUUCCUGCCGAAGUUUCCCUCAGGAUAGCAGAAGUAAACGAGGCAUUUUUAUGGGGUAAUGCGAACGAUUGAAGGCGUCGGUGGCUGUAGCGGCUUAACGUCUCUCAAUGCUGAACCUGUAAGAUGACAGUCUUAUAAUGAAAGUCUGUAUAUCGAAUGCUGUACUUCUAGUGGGCCGGUUUUGGUAAACAGAACUGGCGAUGCGGGAUGAACCGAACGCAAGGUUAAGACGCCGGAAUCCACCAACAAAAGGUGUAGGUUCAUCUUGACAGCAGGGCGGUCGCCAUAGAAGUUGGAACCCGCUAAGGAGUGUGUAAUAACUCACCUGCCGAAUGAACCAGCCCUGAAAAUGGAUGGCCCUUAAGCGUGGUGCCUAUACCUUGCCAUUGGGGUGUAUUGGAAGCUCCAAUGAGUAGGCGGGCGUGGAGGUUCUGUUGUGAAGCUUUGGGUGUGAACCUGAGUGGAACAGCCUCUAGUGCAGAUCUUGGUGGUAGUAGCAAAUAUUCAAGUGAGAACCUUGAAGACUGAAGUGGAGAAGGGUUCCUGGGGGAACAGCCGUUGGCCCAGGGUGAAUCGAUCCUAAGAGAUAGGGAAGUUCCGUUUUACUCAAGUGUGUCAUUUUUUUGAUGCCUCCUAUCGAAAGGGAAUCAGGUUAAUAUUCCUGAACCAGAACAUGGAUGCUUUUUGACGGCAACGUAAAUGAACUUCAAUACGUUGGGUCGAAUCCCGAAAAGAGUUUCCUCUUCUAUCUAACGGAUUUAUUUUUGCUUGAUCAUGAACAGCUGUUUAUCAGGAGCAAUGAUUAAGCAUCCGGAAGAGCACAGUAUCUUUUUGCUGUGUCCGGUGCAUUCGAUACAAUCCUUGAAGAUUCAAGGGAACUUUGAGCUUCUGCUCAGUUUCAUAUCUGGUCGUACCCAUAACCGCAGCAGGUCUCCAAGGUGAGAAGCCUCUAGUUGAUGGAAGAAGGUAGAUAAGGGAAGUCGGCCAAAUAGAUCCGUAACUUCGGGAUAAGAAUCGGCUUCAAUGAUUGAGCUGGCUUGGUGUAGAAUCCUAGAGCUCGGGAUCGCAGCGCAAUCUGGACAGGCCAGCAAUUAACAAUCAAAUUGGAACUGGUACGGACAAGGGGAAUCCGACUGUCUAAUCAAAACAUAGCAUUGCGAUAGCCAGAAAGUGGUGUUGACGCAAUAUGAUUUCUGCCCGGUGCUCUGAAUGUCAAAGUGAAGAAAUUCAACCAAGCGCGGGUAAACGGCGGGAGUAACUAUGACUUCCUUAAGGUGGCCAGUCCCCGUCAUCUAGCUAAUGACGUGGUGAAUGGAUUGAAUGAGAUUCCCACUGUCCCUAUCUACCAUCCAGCGAAACCACAGCCAAGGAAAGGUCUUGGCAUAUUCAGCAGGGAAAGAAGACCCUGUCGAGCUUGACUCUAGUCUGACAUUGUGAAGAGACAUAGAGGGUGUAGAAUAUGAGGGAGACCUCGGUCGCCAGUGAAAUACCUCAACUUCUAUGGUCUCUUCACUUAGGUUAUCAAGUGGGGCUUUUUGGAUUCGCGUCCAACAUAUCUUAGCUUUAAGCCUUGUUUGCAAGGUGACCCAAGCAACUGACAUUUUCAGGUGGGGAGUUUGGCUGGGGCGGCACACCUGUUAAACAAUAACACAGAUGUUCUAAGGGGGGCUCAACGAGAACAGGACUCUCGUGUAGAGCAAAAGGGCAAAAGCCUCCUUAAUUCUGGAUUUUCAGCGCGAAUACGAACCCUGAAAGGGUGGCCUAUCGAUCCUUUAUGUCCUCAGGAUUUGAGGCUAAAGGUGCCAGAAAAGUUACGGCAGGGAACAACUGGCUUGUGGCAGCCGAACGGAUAUAGUGAUGCUGCUUUUUUGAUUCUUCGAUGCCGGCUCUUCCUAUCAUACUGAAGCACGAUUCAGUAAGCGUUGGAUUGUUCACCCACUAACGGGGAACGUGAGCUGGGUUUAGACCGUCAUGAGAGAGGUCAGUUUUACCCUACUGAAGACUGUAGCUUGUCGUGACAGUAAUUGAAGUCAGUACGAGAGGAACCCUUCAUUCAGAUAAUUGGUUCAUGCGGCUGGUUGAAAGGCCAAUGCCGCGAAGCUACCAUCUGCUGGAUAACAGCUGAACGCCUCCAAGCUGGAAUCCAUACUGGUUGAUGCGACAAUUUGGCCUUCUUUCUGGCAUAGAAAGUAACAACAAGGGUGCUUCGACUCGGCACACCUCAAAACUACAUUUUGGGAGUUGCUUGCCUCUGUUCAUGGAAGUAUGGACUGAUGACACCAGCUUUUGAUUACAAUGAAUCCUGCGAAGGCAGUAUCCGCGACCAGACGAGUCGCUUUCAGACAGUGUAUUGUAAGCAUUAAAGUGGUCUUUGUUAUCACGAUGUGCUAAGAUUCAGCCCUUGUCUAUUGAUUUUGU
rnacentral:rRNA from 1 species